rnacentral:rRNA from 1 species
UACGUAGGCAGCGAGCGUUGUUCGGAGUUACUGGGCGUAAAGAGUGCGUAGGCGGUUUUCUAAGUUUGGUGUGAAAUCUCCCGGCUUAACUGGGAGGGUGCGCCGAAAACUGGAAGGCUUGAGUAUGGGAGAGGUAAGCGGAAUUCCUGGUGUAGCGGUGAAAUGCGUAGAUAUCGUUUGGAACGCCAAUGGUGAAAACAGGUUGCUGGGGUUGUGCUGACGCUGAGACACGAAAGCCAGGGGAGCGAACGGG